GUUUUUAUGGGAUCACCAUCACUAACAUUUAGGAGCAUGAACUGAAAAAACAUCAAGUCUCAGAACUCGAUGAAAUGGAUGGGAAAAAACGCAAGAGUAAAAAAAGUAAAUCCAAAAAGUAUCAUAAAAGUCACAAGCAUUCCAAAGACAAGAAAGCAGAAAAUGCCCUCUCUUCCGUUAAGUUAGUGGAAUAUUCUGAUGUCAGCUCUGAAGAGCUCUCAAGUCCCGAGGCUGGUGAGAUACAAAGUGAAGAUAGCUUUAGUAAAGAAGAAAGAAAAGAUGGCGGCUCCCGUAAGCAUGAAUUUAGAGCCAUUAAAGAAGUUGAAAAAUUGAGGAAGAAUGUUGAGCGCUCUCCUGUCCCGGCACAUCUAAGUAGAUCCACCUCACCCUACAACUAUUCUGAAGAGAAAUCUACUAAUUCUGACCACUGGAAAGAAAUUAAUGACAGGGAAAUCUCUCCAAAACAGAUGGUCAGGUCUCCUUCUCGCAAUGAUGAAUUUCACUCUAAGAGUGAAAAACAUAGGAAACACAAAGAGAAGAAAAAGGAUGCUGAAAAGAAGAAUGGAACCAGUCCAACAUCUAGUAAAAAGAAGAAAAAGAAAAAGCAUAAAAGACGCAGUGCCAGUCGAAGCCUAGUCAGUAGUGAGAGUGAUAAUUCAAAUGACAAGAUAAUCAACGAGCCAAAAAUAUCUGUCUCAAUCACUAAUGAAGCUUUGCAUUCAAGUGACAGAAGUUAUUAUUCAUCAAGAAAUGAUGACCAUUGGCCUGUUGUCAGAGUGAAAGAAAUCUCAGAUGAAAAGUCCUAUUCUGGGUCCAGAUCUCCUGCUAGUCCAUAUCCUGGUUUACGAAGUGAUGAAAAAGUAAAUAAUGAGCGAGAUAUGCGGAUGCGGUCAGUUUCACCACACACUCCUCCGUUUCCACCGAAGUCAAGUAGCUGUGAUAGUUCAAGGAAAGCAACUCCUUCUCCACCCGUUGAAGAAGUUUUGGAUCAUGUCAGUAGCUCAAGACAUGAGAAGUUAAAGCAUAGAAGAUCUCCAAGUUUUGAAAGAGAAGAAACAUUUAAGUGGCCAACUUCUAACAGUCCUUCUCGGUCAGUCAGGUUACAUUCGCCUCAAAUGAGAAGUAUCACUCCUCCACCCAGCCACAGAAAACGGAAGAGAAGGAAUCAUAGCAGAGACUUCAAAGAAAGAGAGAGAAUGAUAGAGGCUGAUAAGCGGUUACGAAGAACUGUAAUUGUUGAAAGGCCAGAAAGGGAAAAGAAGUCUAAACAUCAAACUAGUUCCUCUUGGCGUAGAUCUAGAAGUAGAUCACCAAUUAGGUCACGAAGGUCUUUAUCAAGAUCAAGGAGUCGCUCAGUUGAACGAAGGCGGAGACGUUCACCAAGUCAUCAUCGAUCGCAUUCAAGAAAACGAGGACGUUCAGAUCUCAUAGUAGAUCACCAUCAUAUCAUCGUCGCAGGCGUACUCGUUCUCAGAGCCGGGAAACAGUCAGAAAGCUGA
rnacentral:lncRNA from 1 species